GCCGGGAUGGCGGAAUAGGUAGACGCGCAGGACUUAAAAUCCUGUGAGCAGUAAUGUUCGUGCGGGUUCGAUUCCCGCUCCCGGUA
rnacentral:tRNA from 1 species